rnacentral:rRNA from 1 species
AACGAACGCUGGCGGCAGGCCUAACACAUGCAAGUCGAGCGAGGACUCCGGUUCUAGCGGCGGUCGGGUGAGUACCGCGUGGGAAUGUGCCCUUCUCUACGGAAUAGCCCUGGGAAACUGGGAGUAAUACCGUAUAGGCCCUUUUGGGGAAAGAUUUAGUGGAGGAGGAUGGGCUCGCGUCGGGUUCGGUUGUUGGGGGGGUAGUGGCUUACCAAGCCGACGAUGGGUAGCUGGUCUGAGAGGAUGAUCGGACACACUGGGACUGAGAUACGGCCCAGCCUACUACCGGAGGGAGCAGUGGGGAAGAUUGCAUAAUGGGCGGAGGCCUGAUGUAGUAACGCCGCGUGCGGGAUGAGGGCAUUCGGGUUGUAAACCGAUUUCGCCUGCGAUGAAGCGUGAGUGACGGUAAUGGGUAAAGAAGCCCCGGCUAACUACGUG